UGUCAAGUUUUUAAGGGCACAUGGUGGAUGCCUUGGCAUCAGAAACCGAUGAAGGACGUGAGAAUCUGCGAUAAGCCUCGGGUAGUCGAUAACUAGACGUUGAUCCGAGGAUUUCCGAAUGGGGUAACCCGGCUGGAGGCAAGUCCAGUCACCGCUACCUGAAUAUAUAGGGUAGUGGGAGGGAACGUGGGGAAGUGAAACAUCUCAGUACCCACAGGAAGAGAAAACAAAAGUGAUUCCGUGAGUAGUGGCGAGCGAAAGCGGAUGAGGCUAAACCGUGCACGUGUGAUACCUGGUAGGGGUUGCGUGUUCGGGGUUGUGGGAUGGACAUUUCUGGGGUCUACCAGCCUCAGGGACAGUAAGAAAUGUUGGUGGUAGUCGAACGGUCUUGAAGGGCCGGGCAGAGAGGGUGCGACCCCCGUAGACGAAACUGCUGGCACUGUCUGUGUCUUUUCCCGAGUAGCACGGGGCCCGUGAAAUCUCGUGUGAAUCUGCCGGGACCACCCGGUAAGCCUAAAUAUUCUCUGAUGACCGAUAGCGGACAAGUACCGUGAGGGAAAGGUGAAAAGUACCCCGGGAGGGGAGUGAAAUAGUUCCUGAAACCAUGUGCCUACAAUCCGUUGGAGCCUGUGAGGGUGACAGCGUGCCUUUUGAAGAAUGAGCCUGCGAGUUAGUGCUCAGUGGCAAGGUUAACCCGUGUGGGGAAGCCGUAGCGAAAGCGAGUCCGAAGAGGGCGUUU
rnacentral:ncRNA from 1 species